UCCGGUUUGUCACCGGCAGUCCCAUUAGAGUGCUCAACUAAAUGUGGCAACUAAUGGCAAGGGUUGCGCUCGUUGCGGGACUUAACCCAACAUCUCACGACACGAGCUGACGACAGCCAUGCAGCACCUGUGUCCAGGUUCCCUUUCGGGCACACCCCCAUCUCUGGAGGCUUCCUGGCAUGUCAAGGGUAGGUAAGGUGGGGAUGACGUAUAGGAGCUCGAC
rnacentral:misc_RNA from 1 species